CUGCCAGAAUUCAUAUGCUUGUCCCGAAGACUAAAGCCAUGCAUGCCUAUGAAAACUCGGAAUCAGGGAAAAAAGGUGUUUUAUUAAGCGCACCUUCCUGAUAGAUGAUGACUCAGCGAACGGCUCCGUAUAUCUGUUGUCACCUAUCGUGGUAAAUUCGCGUGGAUAUAGCACGGAAACGCUGUGUGUAACACAGUCAAAUGGGGUAGUGUGCAGCUUACAGGCAACUGUGAGCUGCCUAAAUGGGCUUUAAGGAGCCCGGCCUCGCUAAGUGCUCCCAUAGUACCUCACCGGGAAACGGAGGCCUCUGCUGCUCAGGUAGCCCCCCAGCCCGUAAGAUAGGGUUAUGGCGCCUGAGCGCGUGCAGAGACUAACCACAAGCGCACGAUGGGCUUCAGACCUAUCAGCAAGGUGGUAGGGUAUUGGCCUACCAUAGCAUUGACGGGUACAGAGGAUUAGGGUUUGAUCCUGGAGAGGUAGCCUGAGAAAUCGCUCCCACUUCUAAGGAAGGCAGCAGGCGCGUAACGUUCCCAAUGCUGGUUCAGUGAGGACGUGAAGGGAUAUAACAAUGCCCCUAUAGGUUAGUGGGUAAUGACAAUGGAGUGGGCUAAA
rnacentral:rRNA from 1 species